GUGGAUUAAGUUAAUGAAUGAAUGAAUGAAUGAAAAACUAUUGUUUAUACUUAGGAGCAAAAUUGCUCUUUCUAUUAAUCCUACAGGCUACUAUUUCCUCAUUAAAAUAUUUUCAUUAUAUAACUUUAAGAAACUUAAAGUAAAACAUGUACAAAUAGAAGAUGAAUUCACAGAAGCAAUUUCAAUAAUAGACUAGCUCUAAUGCCACUGUAAUGAUAGAACGCUGUGGGAUGCCCAAGGAAGUUGAUACUGGCUGGGGAAACAAGUUCUUAUUUGCUUAAUAAUGUAAUUCUCCAAAAAACUAAAAUUUAUCUUUCACUGAAAAUCUGAAGUCUGGUGCUAUAUUUAUACCAAUUUAUUCUACAGAUAUUCAGAAGUUUUCAUGGACUUAGAUACUGAAUUAGUUGUUCAGUUCUAUUCAACAAUGUAUGAUUACACUAGUAAGAUCUAUUGUGAUUCUAAAUAUAUUCCAUGAAAUGAUUUUGGAAUGGACAAAUUAUAUACAAAAUGUUUAUUGAAAAGACUAACAAAUUUAUCUAAUGCCUUAAAAACUCUAGAAAAAGAAAGAUAACAAGGCUAACCCCUUUUCCCCUAAAAUGUGUACAGUAUUAUAAAAAUCACAUUCAGAUAUGUCAUAUAACAACUUCUUCCCACCGCUUGUUUUGGUAUUAAUGCUGUUUGAUUGGAAAUCAUUGGAAGCCAUUUUAAUGGAAAUGUUACCAGUGCUUAUUAUCAAAAUAUCUUAUUGAAAAUAAAACAAAUGAACCAACCAAACAACAACAAAAACACUCCUUACUUUGAUUCCUAUUUUUUUCACCAUCCUUUCUCAAAUUCAUCUUAUAACUUCUCCUAGAUAAGAAAAAAAUGUAUGUCACUAUUUUCAACUUGAUAAAAGGCAAUUGAUUGUUGAAGGUAAUUUUUCCUUUGUUGGCUUGAAGCAGAAGCCAAAGAUUUAAUAGAUGCAUGUAUGCAUUUUUGUAAGCCUGAUCUCUAAGCCUAAAGCCUUUGAUUUCAAGGUUACAAUGUGGUACCAAUAAUGGCACAAGCCCUUUCUAUUAUCUGUAAUAGAAAAUUACAUAAACUGGGAUAAAUCCAGUUAGGAGGUCUUUUUGUGAUUUUAUACAAAACAAAAGCUUAGACUGAUAUCAGCCUUUAUCAGCUUCCCUGAUCCAGAAAACCCUUUUUCCUCCAAGCACCGCUUUUGCUGUAUCUCACAGACAUUGAUAAGUUGUGUUUUCAUUUUCAUUCAAUUCAAAAUAGUUUAAAAUUUCUCUUGUGAUUUCUUCUUUUACUCAUGUGUUAUUUAGAAAUAUAUUGUUUAAUUUCCACAUAUUUGGAGAUUUUAAUUUUAUCUUCCUGUUACUGAUGUCUAGUUUAAUUCCAUUGUGAUCUGAGAACAGACAUUAUAUAAUUUCUAUUGUUUUAAAUUCAUUAAGGUGUGUUUUAUGGUGCAGAAUGUGGUCUAUCUUGAUGAAUGUUCCAUGUGAGCCUAUGAAAAAUGUGUAUUCUGCUGUUGUUGGAUGAUAUAGGCUAUAGAUGUCAGUUAUAUUCACUUGAUAUUGAGUUUGACACUUGUUAUUCAGUUCAACUGUCCUUACUGAAGUUCUGUUUGAUGGAUCUGUCCAUUUUUGAGAGAGGUGUGUUGAAAUCUCCAACUAUGAUAGUGGGUUUACCUAUUUACUCUUGUAGUUCUAUCUGUUUUCACCUCACUUCUUUGAUACUCUGUUGUCAUUAGCAUACAUGUUAAGAAUUGUUAUGGCUUCUUGGAGAACUGAGCCCUUUUUCAUUAUGCAAUGCCCUUCUUCCAAAUAAUUUUUCUUACUUUGAAGUUAGCUCUGUCUGAAAUUAAUACAGCUACUCUUGCUUUCUUAUGAUUAGUGUUAGCAUGGUGUAUUUUUUUCCAUCCACUUAUGUUUUAUCUAUACGUGUCUACAUACUUAAAGUGGGUUUUUUAUAGAUAACAUAUAGUUGGGCCAUGUUUUAUGAUUCACUCUAACAAUCUCUGUCCUUUAAUUGGUGCAUUUAGACCACUGAUAUUCAAAGUGAUUAUCCAUAUAGUUGGAUUAAUAUCUACUAUAUUCAUUAGAGCUUUCAAUUUGCAGCCCUUGCUCUUUGUUCCUGUUUUUGUCUUCCAGUUUUUUUCUGCCUUUUGUGGUUUUAACUGAGCACUUUAUAUGAUUCUAUUUUCUCUCCUUUAUUAGUAUAUCAGUUAUACUUUUUUUAAACUUUUCUUAGUGGUUUCCCUAGAGCUUGCAAUAUACAUUUACAACUAAUUCAAGUCCACUUUCAAGUAACACUAUAUUGCUCACAAGUAGUAUAUACCUUAUAGUAACAAAAUAAUUCUAAUUCCUCCCUCCAAUCAUGCAGCCACUCAUUUCACUUAUAUAUAAGUAUAUAAAGCUUAUACAUAAGCAUACCUUAUGUAUAAGAUUAUACAUAAGGAUACAUAACUUAAUAUAUUGUUGCUAUUAUUAUUUUGAGCAAACUGUUAUCUCUUACACCAAUUAAGAAUAAGAAAAAUAAGUUAUUUUACCUUCACUUAUUUCUUCUUCAGUGCACUUCCUUUCUAAUGUAGAUUUGAGUUUCUAAUCUAUGUUAUAUUCCUUUUCACUAAAGAACUUUUUUUUUAAUUGAAGUAUAGUUCAUUCAUAAUGCUGUGUUAGUUUAUAUAUACAUAUAUAUUCUUUUCUGUUACAUUUUAUUAUACGAUAUUGAAUACAGUUCUCUAUCCUAUAUAGUAGGACCUUGUUGUUUAUCUGUUUUAUAUAUAGUAGUUUGUAUCUGCUAAUCCCAAACCUCUAAUUUAUCCCUCCCUCCUUUCCCCUUUGGUAACCAUAAUUUUGUUUUCUAUAUCUGUGAGUCUGUUUCUCUUUUGUAAAUAAGUUCAUUUGUAUCAUAUUUUAGAUUCCACAUAUAAGUGAUAUCAUAUGAUAUUAGUCUUUGUCUGACUUACUUCACUUGAUAUGAUAACCUCUGGGUCCAUCCAUGUUACUGCAAAUGGCGUUAUUUCAUUUUUUUAUGGCUACUAGUAUUCCACUGGGUACAUAUAUAUAUUUACACACACACAUUGUGUACAUAUAUAUAUUUACACACACACCUUGUGUGUGUAUAUAUAUAUAUAUAUACACACACACAGAUAUAGAUAUAGAUAUAUAUAUAUAUAUAUAUACACACACACACACACACACACACACACACACACCACUUCUUUAUCCAUUCAUCCGUCAAUGGACAUGUAGGUUGCUUCAAUGUCUUGGCAAUUGUAAAUAGUGCUGCUAUGAACAUUGGGGUGCAUGUAUCUUUUUGAAUGAGUUUUCUCCAGAUAUAUGUCCAGGAAUGGGAUUGCUGGAUCAUAUGGUAACUCUAUUCUUAGUUUUUUAAGGAACCUCCAUACUGUUAUCCAUAGUGGUUGCACCAAUUUACAUUCCUACCAACAGUGCAAGAGGGUUCCCUUUUUUCCUCACCCUCUCCAGCAUUUAUUAUUUAUAGACUUUUUGAUGAUGGCCAUUCUGACGGGUGUGAGGUGGUACCUCAUGGUAGUUUUGAUUUGCAUUUCUCUAAUAAUGAGCAAUGCUGAACAUUUUUUCGGGUGCUUAUUGGCCAUCUGUAUGUCUUCUUUGGAGAAAUGUCUAUUUAGGUCUUCUGCCCAAUUUUUAAAUUUUUUUUUACUUUUGUUUUUAUUGAGUUGUAUGAGCUGUUUGUAUUUUUUGAAAAUUAAGUCCUUGUCAGUUGCAUCAUUUGCAAAUAUACUCUCCCAUUCUGUAGGUUGUCUUUUCAUUUUGUUUAUGGUUUCCUUUGCUGUGCAAAAGCUUGUAAGUUUGAUUAGGUCCCAUUUAUUUAUUUUUGCUUUUAUUUCUGUUACCCUGGGAGACUGACUAAGAAAACUUUGGUAGGAUUUAUAUUAGAGAAUGUUUUAUCUAUGUUCUUUUCUAGGAGCCUUAUGGUGUCAUGUCUUAUAUUUAAGUCUUUAAGCCAUUUGGAGUUUAUUUUUGUGUAUGGUGUGAGGGACUGAAGAACUUUUUAUUUUUUUAACAUAUCCUGUAAAUCAGGUCUACUGGCAACUGAUUACAGAUUUUCUUUGUCUGAGAGAGUUUAUUGUUCCUUCACUUUUGAAGGAUUAUUUCACAGGAUACACAAUUCCAGGUUCGUGGGUUUUUUGUUUGUUUUCUUUCUCUCAACACUUAACAUAUUUCAUUCUACUCUUUCUUGUUUGCAUGGUUUCUGAAGAAUUGAAUGUAACUCUUAUCUCUGGCUUCUUUCAGAGGAGAAAGAAUCUCUGGAUUUUUUCUUUAUCUUUGAUUUUCUGUAGUUUGAAGAUCAGAUGCCUGGGUACAGUUUUUCUAGCAUGUGUCCUGCUUGAUUUUCUCUAAGCUUCCUGGAUAUGUAGUUCGGUGUCUAAUGUUAAUAUGGGGAAAUUCUCAGUUAUUAUUGCUUCAAAUAUUCUUCUGUUCCUUUCUCUCUUUCUUCUCCUUUUUAUAUUCAUAUUACAUAUAUUUUACACCUUCUGUAGUUCUUCCACAGUCCUUGGAUAUCCUAUUGUGUUUUUUUUUUCUUUCUUUCUCUCUUUCUUUCUUUUUAUUUUUAUUUUUAAGGAUUCUAUUGAUAUAUCCUCUAGGUCAGACAUUCUUUCCUGAGUCCUGUCCAGUUUACUGAUAAGCCCAUCAAAGGCAUUCUUCACUUCUAUUUCAGUGCUUUUGACCUUUAGCAUUUUGUUUUGGUUCUUUCUUAGGAUUUCCAUCUUUCUGCUUACAUUGUCCAUCUGUUCUUGCAUGGAGUCUGCUUUAUCCAUUAGAGCCCUUAGCAUACUAAUCCUACUUGUUUUAAAUUUGCUGGUAUGAUAAUUCUAACAUUCUGUCAUGUGUAGUUCUGAUCCUUGUUAUGUCUCUUCAAAUUGUGUUUUUUGCCUCUUGGUGUGCCUUGUAAUUUUUUCCUGACAGCCAGAUUUGAUGUACUGGGUAAAAGGAACUGCUGUAAAUAGGUCUUUGUUAAUGUGGUGGUGAGGUGUUGGGUUGGAAGUAUUGUACAGUCUUAUGAUUAGGGCUGAGUCUUUUAGUGAACCUAUGCUUGUAGAUUGUGAAUUUCACAAGUGUUUCUCAGCUCUUUUCUCUCCACUUGUCUGGGACAGGAUGGCUUGAGUAGCUGAAGUUGUGCGUUUCCCUUCUCCCAUGUAGAAGGCGAGAGCUGGCUGGAAUUGGGUGUUUCCCUCUCAAAGAAAGACAACACUUCUCCACAAUUUUGGAGGAAUUCACUAGGACUGACAAGAUCAGUAACUAUUAAAUAAUCAGAUUGGAAUAAUAUGACAAUACUAACAUUUAUUCCAAUUUUAUGUUAGUCCUACUUUGCAUCCUAUAAAAUGAAAAGGUCCUAAAUGUACUUCAACCUUGUUUACACUCUAUGGAAAUUUGAUAUAUGUUAUGUACUGAUGAUGCUAUAAACAUUUUAUGCUAUGAACUAACAUAAAAAAUUUAAAACAUCGCAGUUGUGUCAGGUUUGCUCCUUGAGUGUAGCAAAUAUUUUAUUAUGUCUCUAUGAUUUUCCAGUUAGUUUUCCCUUAGACGUCUAAAUAAAUCUGUACCUUUAAAGGAAAUGAUUUGGAAAAAGGUUUUAAUUGGUUUAUCUAUGGUUCUGAACCAAAGUUUUAAUACCAUGCAAUUUACAUUAUAAUUUAGAGAAAUUCUUAUUUAUUUAAAUCUUACUUAAAACAGUGCCUUUUUUUUUUUUUUUUUUUGCGGUACGCGGGCCUCUCACCGUUGCGACCUCUCCCGUUGCAGAGCACAGGCUCCGGACGCGCAGGCUCAGCGGCCAUGGCUCACAGGCCCAGCCACUCUGCGGCAUGUGGGAUCUUCCUGGACCGGGGCACGAACCUGCGUCCCCUACAUCGGCAGGCGGACUCUCAACAACUGCGCCACCAGGGAAGCCCAAAAACAGUGCUUUUUUAAUUUGGGGUUUAUACCUUUGUUCUUUUUAUUGUGGGUUGGUUCAUGUUUGUUUUCUAACUUGCAGAUUUUUACUAGGCCAGACUAUUUAUUUAAAAUAAACAUUUGAAGAUUUGUAGUCUCUCUUUUAAUAAUAUACAUGUCGAUAGAUAGAAGGACAGACAGAUUAAAAAAAUAUAGGGUUUAGCCAUUACUGCAUAGAAUUUGAUAUAAAACUCAAACAAUUUAGAAAGAUAUGCUGUGGAAAUUUAGCCUAUGUUCAGUUCUGGUCUCCAGCAAUAGUUCACAGUCCCAAAGAAUACGUACAUUUAAAAAACUGUUUCAUGUCAGGGGUAUUAGAUAUACCAUUUCAUUUAAUUCUUCAUCAAAGAAGCUGGAACUUAAUUUUUAUUAUUCUUAUUUUAAAGACUGACUGGGUUUAAAUUGUUCAGUAAGGUAUAGUUAGUACUACAGAGUGAGUAAUAGAAUAGAGAUUCAAAAGCUCAUCUGCCUGGUUGCAAAUCCUCUUCUCAUUUAAGCUCACUAACUUCUAGUCAUUGGUGGAGGGUUUCUAGACUCAGAGGUCAUUAUUGCUUCUCUUCUUCCUCAAGCAGAAAGCAGAAAACACACUGAGGUAUUUCCCUUUGUGUAAACUUGGUGUUUUUUGAGGGAAAAUCAAGUGUCAGAUGGUUUAUUUCCUUCCUCCCUUCCUUCCUUCCUUCCUCCCCUCCUCUCUUUUCUGUCUUUCUUCCUUGGGCUUAAUCCAUUCUGUUUGAUUCUGCUUGAUCAAUGUUUAAUAAUUAAGUACUUAUUAUACAUACAAAAUGUAUUUCCCAUUUCUACCUUGGGCAUAGGGCACACCAAUGUCUUAAAAUUUUAGCUAGCAAAAGUAUAAUGACAAUAAGAGUAUUUGAGCUAAAUUAGAAGAAAAUACUCUGGUAAAUAUUGUUCCAGAUUACACAGGCUUGAAAACUCCUGCACCAAUUUAUUCUUAAAACUCAUGUCUUCUGAUUUUGAAAAAAAAAAAUCCGUUUUUUUUCCCCAAAUCUCUCAGAUCAUUUAGGAAGAAAUAUAAAGUGUUUAUAGUUUACACACAGAAUGGAGAUAAUCCCUUUGGAGGCUCUGCAGAGUCUGUGUAGGGUUGUAAAGCAAGAAGCAAUCCAGUAGGAAUGUGGAUGCAUGUGUAUACUUAUAUAAAUAUUUAUAUCUAAUUAUUAUAUGAAUAUAUAAUGCUCUUCCUGUCAAGUAUCUGUAUGAUAUGACUGGAUAUUUUUCCACAGCCACAAGCUCUGUCCUUAUCAAGCAGAGAUAGGAAUGGGGAGGAAAUAGAGUGGACCUCUCUCUUUUGAGUGUUAAACACCAUACAACACACUUGACUGAUGGCCACUUUGCCUACAUCUCUGGCUGUGUAUGGUAACUAGUCAGCAUGAGAUAGAUAAUUUUAAACAAAUGUUACAAAAAUGUGAUAUUACUUUUUGCAAAUUGACUUGCUUGGCAGCAACAAUUUUACAAUGUCACCUAAAUGGUUAUUUUUUCCUGCAAAUUCCACCUUAUUAACUGGAAGCAAGUGUCUGGCACAUGUAGUUCAAUGUUUUGCACAUUAAGCUUAAUGAAAGUGUGUUCUUCAUGUUGGUGAUUAACCAACUCAAGAAUAAAACCAAUGAUAGCACAAUAGCCUUUACUACUUUCUCCUAUAUAAUGUAUUCAAGUGUUCUCCUUAGUUUAUUAUAUUAAUAUAAUAAUAUAAUUGAAAAUCCCAUUGUCAUUUGCUUCCAAAUAUUAAAACUAUUGAUAAUUUAUGUUGAACUAAUAAAGAAUAGCUCAAUUUAGAAAGCAGCAUCUCUAUUAAAUUACUACAUAAUUAACCACCUUAAGCAAUAAUUUUUUAAUUUGUUUACUUAGGGAUGAUUGAUUCAAAAAUUAACCUGGAUUACUGAAGUAAAAAUUUUCAAAAUUUCUAAACAGAGUUCAGUUAGUGAAUUUUGUCCUUAUUUCUUCUUUAGGAGUAUGACUUUUUCACCAUAUAUAUGAGAAAUAGCUCAGCUUGAAAAGGAAGAAUUAUUUAAGGAACAAUUAGUCAUUUGGGGAGUUGGAAGGCAGACACAAGUUAUACAAAGUGAAAGCUUCUAAUAGUCAUAGUGUAUUAAUGCAUAAGUAUUCCCAAUAUACAGUAGCUUAAAGGAACAAUAAAAUGACAAAACCAAAGAGAUAAACCCUGACGCUAGUCCUAGGAUUUGCUCUCAACAACAAAUAAAAUAUACAAUAGAUGAAAAAAUGUUUUAUUUAUGAGAGUAAAAUGAAUAGCACCAUAGGAAGUAAGUUGUUUGCUGUAGUAAACAUCAAAAGGGCAAGAAUUGCAAUUUGAUAUGUCUCCCAAGGAGUGUGAAGCUCAGAUAAAGAUGUGAGUCUAAAAUUGGAGAAGUACAUAUUUAAUAUUAAUAGAAGUCUCCACUUUGUAUAAAGACCUUGAAGUGAUAUAUAUCUUCCAUGCUAUGCCUUAGGAUGACUAUUUCAUCUGUUAGAGACUAUCACUGCCUAUCUUUAUAAAGCUUGGUUUGUUUAUAGCAAGAGUACAAAAUGCACUAUGAUUCUGUGAAACAAGAAAAAAGUGGAACUGAAAGCAAGUUCUAGAAAUAUUCUAUGAGAAAAAAAUAGUAACAGUAUUAUUUUGGAAAACAAAGCCUGAAGUAUUAGAAUUCAGUCAAAUGUGAUAUGUCGUAUAGUCAAACUUGAUCAACUAGCCCUUUCACAAAAAUGACUUUUUGUAGAGGUUAGGUGUUUACUAUGUACCAGGUACUUUUUUAGUCACUAUAUGUAUGUUAUUUAAUUUAAAUUUCACACACCUCAACAAUGUAAUAACUAUGCUAUUUUAUAGAUUAGGGAAAUGAACAUAUGAAAAUAAGCAACUCGCCCAAGGUCACAGAGUAAGUGGCAAUUCAGCCUUCAAGUAAAACUUUAACCAUAAAAACUUUGUUUCUAGUUUGCCUUAGUUAUUUAUUGCUGUAAUAAAAAUUGUCUUAAAAUAUAGUUAAAAUAACAAGAAAAUGUAAUUUCUCACAAUUUGGGCAGAUCAGAAAUUGGGAGCCACUUAGCUAAGCAGUUCUUCCUUGGGGAACUUUCAUGAGAUUUCAGUCACAAUGUCAGCCAGGGCUGCAAUCAUCUGAAGGCUUGACUAGGACUGGAAGAUACACUUCCAGAGUGGGUCACUCACAUGGCCAGCUUGUUGUGGACAGGAGGCCUCUGUCCUCCACCUAAUUCUCUGUAGUUCUCUCCACAGGACUGCUUGUGUUCUCAUGACAAGGCAGCUGGCUUCCCCAUAUGUGAGCGAGCCAAGAGACAAAAAAGCAGAAGUCAGUCUGCCUUUUCUUAUCUAGCCUCAGAAAUUAUAUACUUUCACCUCCCUAAUAUCCUCUGAUCAUACAAGUCUACCCUAUUCAACGUGAGAGGAGACCACACAAGUUCAUGAGUACUCGGAAGUCUGGGUCACUGAGGGUCAUCUUGGAGACUGGCUUCCAUAAAGCUAUAGGGCAAACAAGAAUACACUGUUCUCCAGUGGACGUUAAUUCUACUUUAUUUUUACUAUAUUAGAUAUAAUUCUAUUUCAUCACCAACAAUAUAUUGGAUAUAGUUUUCUUUAGAUAAGAAUAGAUAAUGUGGGCAUUGGAAGCUUCUCCCUAGUGAAGGGUUCAUAUCUUCCUGAUUUUACUGUAAUGUUUUGAAUAAUUACUGAAAUACACAUUCUAAAAGCAAUCAAUUUUGCAAUCAAUUAUGCAAAAAUUAUAGGCUGUGUUGUUAUAUAGUUUAACUUCCAAGGUAUUUCAGGUAACAGCUUUACAGAUGUUUUGUCAUUCCCUAACUUACAUCCUUAGCUUUCUAGCCUGUUGUAAUUUUAUCCUUGCUGCCUGCUCUGAAUGUAGGUAAUUUCUAUGACAGCAACCCAUUUCUUGGUACCAUUUUUCUGUAAUAGUUAGGACAUAGGCUAAAACGGUUGCAUCAGUAACAUUUUGCCUCAUAACAAGCCACCCUGAAACUCAGCAGCUUGAAAAACAAGCAUUGUUUAGUUCACUACUCUGCUGAGUAGUUCUCUGAGUCUGGACUGGCUCCACUCAUCUCAGUGUGUGCUCUCUCAUCUGGCUAUGUUAUUUUUGGAGUUUGAUGGUGGCUAAAUGAUCGAGGUUAGAGGAUCCCCAGAGAAAGAGAACCAGGCAUGCCUUUCUUCACAUAAGAGAAGCCAUUUUGGCUGAAGCUAUUUUGUGAUCUAAGCCUGGCCACAAUGCUUGUCUUUGAGCAGGUGUCAGUAAUUUAUAAUGUUAAGUAAGAAAAGAAUGCAGGAUAAAGGACUGUUAUCAGGCAAGAGAAGUAGCGAUAGCAAAGAUAAUAUAUCAGUUGUAGACUCCCAGUUCUGUUUUUAUGGUAAAGAUUAGCCUGAAGUGCUCAACCACCAAAUCAACUGGAACCUAAGAGAUGAUGUUAACUUUUUCUGAUCCUCAAGGCUUCAAUUCAAGUUCAAUUUUGGACUUGGCCAAAAUUUGUCCCAAUUCUAUGUUGAAUUCUCCUCUGCUCAAGCCUCUUCAUGAAUAUGCACAUACCCUUAGCUUUAAACUUUCCCAAUUUUGCUGUUGGGGAGACAAUGCUUUGGGCAAGAUCCCGGCUGUUCUUCUUACUUGCUGCAUUAAUAAAUACUUUCUUCUCCCACUCUUUGGUUUGGUUGUGUCUUUUGACUCAACACCCACCAAGAGGCAAAUCCAGUUUUUCAGGUAACACUGCCAGCUUCCACUAAAAGUAAGGUCCUUUCAAAUUCUAACCUGGUUUCAAAGCCAAUGCCACAUGUUCUGGAUUUUUAUUAUGGUAGCAAACAACUACCAGUUACCAAAUUUUAUUCUGGUGUCUACUGCUGUCUAACAAACUACUUCAAAGCUUAGUAACUUUAAACAACCACAAUUUAAUCAUAUUUCAUAACUUUGGAAUCAGUGAUUCAGGUGCAACUUGCUGUUGGAUACUUCUGCUCCAUGUGGCAUCAACUGGAGUCACUAGGUGGUAUUCAACUGGCAGCUCUAGUCUGGAGAACUGGUGGUGACAGCUGGAAGAAAGGAAUCAUCUGGUCCCCUUUCUCUCUCCAGGUAGCCUUAGGGCUACCCUAUGUGGUCUCUUCAGUGUAUAGUUAAGUUCAUACAUGGCAGCUCAGGGUUCCUCAGGAAUGCUAAGAGCCUAAAGAGGCUAGAAGCAGUACUGACAUAGUGUCAUCUCCUCCAUGCUCUAUUACUUCAAGCAGUCACAGGUCAGCUCAUAUUCAAAGGGAUUGAACAAAGACCUGCCUUUCAAUAAGAGGAGUGUCAAAGAUUCUACAGCUACCUUUAAUCUGCAAAGAGGUUAAAUUACAUGGAACACUUGAAAUUCCCUUGCUUCAUAACAUUAGUUUAGAAAUCCUGCCUGCUUAUUCUUUUGUCAUUUACGCCCUUAUAAGUAAACUGGGAGAAAGCAUAUUCCUUUGCAUAAAGUAAAACAAAAUUGUAGAGAUGUUAACGUGAGUCCACAAAUUAUGUCCAAGGAAAGAAACUGUAGCCUAGUUGUUUACAAUGUUUGGAGACAGGCUUUGGGAGAAAUUUCUCUGUUCUACAUUUAUAAUUAUAAUGAUAAAAUAACUAAUUGUCAAUGCUUCGUGAGGCCUGUCUGGUCUUAGGUCCAGGAAUUUUAUAUCAAAGAAUCCUAUCUUAUUUAACGCAAAACCAGAGUGAGUAAUGCUUGGAAUUUUAUAUAGUAAGAAAUAAGAUAAUAACGAAUCAUUCGAAUUAACCUGUAUGUUUUUUUUAUUGUCCUCAAUUUUCUCAUUCAGGUCAAAAUGAUUAUAGCAAGGACUGUGCCGAAGAGAGAAGGCAUUGCUAAAUUUGCAAGACUUAUAACCAGGACACUCUGACAUUUGGAAACAUAAACAAGCAAAGGAAAGCAAGAAAGGUUGCCCUGUCUGACUAAAAAAAGAGCUAGAUAAUUUUAUUUCAAUGAGAAAACAGUGCACAUUUAUAAUAUUUCAGAAAAAUUUAGUAAGAUUAACAGUGUCUAUUGGAUUUUUGAGUGUGGAAUUUAUUGGUAACAUUUACAAAACCAGUUUAAAUAUAGUGAUGGUGCAGGAAGCCAAAUUAGAAAGUCUUGAAGAGUGAAUAGUAAUGGGAGGAGAGAAUCAGAAGAGAGUACUUAAUCAAGGUUUAUACUUGAUUAUACUGAAGGAUAGUCAAGAAAAUUGUUUGGAGUAUGAGGAGCAUGAAAAUCAGAGGAGGUUCUUAAAUUAUUUUAUGGCAAUCUUCUUUGGAAAACUACCAUGAUACAAAUUAAUUCAGUAAAAUGAUGUAUUUGGGGAGGAGGGGCAAAUAGUAUUUAUAAAAAUUAUUGCUUGCCAAUCUUUUUAUAGAAAAAUAUAUCUUAUAGAAAGUUAAAUUUCUGAAAAAUCAGAAGAUCUGCACCCACCACCCUCUGUAUGACCCCAUUGGCCUCAGCUCAACUUCCUUCUCUUUGUUAUUCCCUGCUUUCUUGGCGGAGCUGGGUUCAUUCAACUGACAGUUAGAAAUCUAUUUUAUGUCAGAGCUAGGUGCACACAUAUGCAUGUAUGUCUCAAAGUAUAUAUUAUAAAACAAUACACAUCCUUGUAUAUAUAAUAAAUUUGAGUAUUUUAAUUUUAGUCCUGCAGUAGUAAAGGAAGAAUCUGUAACCCGCUCUGGGAGUUGGCAAGAUCAAACUGCAUUCAUAAUACUACUAAAUCAUUAUUGUUCUUGUUCACUUUCAAUCUCUCAUGAGUGUGCAGAGAAGUAUUUGUUUUUGUUUUCCAGAAGCUACAUGCUGUAUAAUGAUGUCAGCACUCUUUUGAAUAAUUGAGAGUAUAGUUGUGUAUUGGUUUUCUAGAACUUUCUAAGUGAGUAGAUUUAGUAUAUAAAUAUGUACAUAUUCAAACAUUAAAUCAUACUCUUCUGGA